AGCUUAGAAACAGAAGAGACAAAAUAAUGGGGGAGGCAGUAUUGUACAGUUAAAGAGAUCAAUAUAGCAGACAAACAAGCGAGGUUCAUAGGGUCCCUCUGUGAGGACAUGUACGAGUGAAAACCACACUGUGGAGUCCGUUUGCUAUGAGCGAUGUAUGCUGAGAUUCUGGCCCCUUUGUGGUCAGUCCACUCUAUACCACCAGCUUCACCGUGGGAAAGGAACCUCACCAGCUACAGAGUUAUUAAAAUGUAUAUUAAAAAAUAAAUACAGAGUAAAUAAAAAAAA